GGGUGAGUAACACGUAGGGAACCUGCCCGCGCACCGGGAAUACGCUCUGGAAACGGAGAACAAAUCCCGAUGUACAGGAAGGAGGCAUCUUCUUUCUGUGAAACAUCCUUUAGGGGAUGGGGCGCGGAUGGACCUGCGGUGCAUUAGUUGGUUGGCGGGGUAAAGGCCCACCAAGACGAUGAUGCAUAGCCGGCCUGAGAGGGCGGACGGCCACAUUGGGACUGAGACACGGCCCAGACUCCUGCGGGAGGCAGCAGUAGGGAAUUUUCGUCAAUGGGCGCAAGCCUGAACGAGCGAUGCCGCGUGAGUGAAGAAGGCCUUCGGGUCGUAAAGCUCUGUUGCGGGGGAAAAAAGGCAGCAUCAGGAAAUGGGUGCUGACUGAUGGUGCCCCGCCAGAAAGUCACGGCUAACUACGUGCCAGCAGCCGCGGUAAUACGUAGGUGGCGAGCGUUAUCCGGAAUGAUUGGGCGUAAAGGGUGCGCAGGCGGUCCUGCAAGUCUGGAGUGAAACGCAUGAGCUCAACUCAUGCAUGGCUUUGGAAACUGGAGGACUGGAGAGCAGGAGAGGGCGGUGGAACUCCAUGUGUAGCGGUAAAAUGCGUAGAUAUAUGGAAGAACACCAGUGGCGAAGGCGGCCGCCUGGCCUGUUGCUGACGCUGAGGCACGAAAGCGUGGGGAGCAAAUAGGAUUAGAUACCCUAGUAGUCCACGCCGUAA
rnacentral:rRNA from 1 species